GAGUGGCGGACGGGUGAGUAACGCGUGGGUAACCUGCCUCAUAGAGGGGGACAACAGUUGGAAACGACUGCUAAUACCGCAUAGUAAGAAAGAUUCGCAUGUUUCUUUCUUGAAAGAUUUAUCGCUAUGAGAUGGACCCGCGUCUGAUUAGCUAGUUGGUAAGGUAACGGCUUACCAAGGCGACGAUCAGUAGCCGGCUUGAGAGAGUGAACGGCCACAUUGGGACUGAGACACGGCCCAAACUCCUACGGGAGGCAGCAGUGGGGAAUAUUGCACAAUGGGGGAAACCCUGAUGCAGCGACGCCGCGAGAGUGAAGAAGUAUUUCGGUAUGUAAAGCUCUAUCAGCAGGGAAGAUAAUGACGGUACCUGACUAAGAAGCCCCGGCUAACUACGUGCCAGCAGCCGCGGUAAUACGUAGGGGGCAAGCGUUAUCCGGAUUUACUGGGUGUAAAGGGAGCGUAGACGGCAAGGCAAGUCUGAAGUGAAAGCCCGGUGCUUAACGCCGGGACUGCUUUGGAAACUGUUUAGCUGGAGUGCCGGAGAGGUAAGCGGAAUUCCUAGUGUAGCGGUGAAAUGCGUAGAUAUUAGGAAGAACACCAGUGGCGAAGGCGGCUCACUGGACGGUAACUGACGUUGAGGCUCGAAAGCGUGGGGAGCAAACAGGAUUAGAUACCCUGGUAGUCCACACUGUAAACGAUGAUUACUAGGUGUUGGAGGAUUGACCCCUUCAGUGCCGCAGUUAACACAAUAAGUAAUCCACCUGGGGAGUACGACCGCAAGGUUGAAACUCAAAGGAAUUGACGGGGGCCCGCACAAGCAGUGGAGUAUGUGGUUUAAUUCGACGCAACGCGAAGAACCUUACCAAGUCUUGACAUCCUGCGACGAUGCUGGAAACAGUAUUUUCCUUCGGGACGCAGAGACAGGUGGUGCAUGGUUGUCGUCAGCUCGUGUCGUGAGAUGUUGGGUUAAGUCCCGCAACGAGCGCAACCCUUAUGGUCAGUUACUACGCAAGAGGACUCUGGCCAGACUGCCGUUGACAAAACGGAGGAAGGUGGGGAUGACGUCAAAUCAUCAUGCCCUUUAUGACUUGGGCUACACACGUACUACAAUGGCGUUAAACAAAGAGAAGCAAGACCGCGAGGUGGAGCAAAACUCAGAAACAACGUCCCAGUUCGGACUGCAGGCUGCAACUCGCCUGCACGAAGUCGGAAUUGCUAGUAAUCGUGGAUCAGCAUGCCACGGUGAAUACGUUCCCGGGCCUUGUACUCACCGCCCGUCA
rnacentral:rRNA from 1 species